rnacentral:tRNA from 1 species
UUCGCCAAGUUGGUUAAGGCAUCGGAUUUUGAUUCCGACAUGCGUAGGUUCGAAUCCUACAU